rnacentral:tRNA from 1 species
GCAGUGGUACUUCAGUGGUAGAGUUCUUGCCUUUCAUGCAAGAGACCUGGGUUCGACUCCGAGCCCAUGCA